ACGGUUCCUAGGCGCUAUUUUCUUGUUUGGAACUUCUAAAAUGUCCCAUUUUGUGGUUUUGUUACUCGUUUUCUCAUUCGCUGUCCAUGGUCUACCAUACAAAUCGUACAUUGUACGUAAAUGCGGGGAAACCAUCUUAAUCGACUGUCCUUUCGUUGCGUCAGCUAGUGCAGGCACAAUCGAGUUUCUGCCACCCCUUACCAUAAAUGAGUCGCUAUCUGAAGGUCGAAUCGUUUAUACUUUGAGAAUGCUUACGGAAAGUUGUGCCCCCACGAUGAGCCAUGUAAAUUGACUGUAAAAACACGCGGCGAAUGCGGAAACCCGGAGGAUGCCUUCGCCAUCUAUCUCAACGUCAGAACCUUUGAGCUUUCAAGACCGGCCCGUUUGGAGAUCUAUGACGCAACUGGAAUAAGGGAGCCGCUUUUACGAAAAUCAUGGAUUGGCGGAAGUGGUUAUCAGCAUUACAAUCCCACCUCCCGCGGCCAAGUGCUCUCGGAGUACGCCAGGCAACCUGUGUUUUCUUUGAAAUACCUUCACCAGAAAGCUGACUGUGAAGCUCUUCGGAAAGCGGUCUUCGAUUAUACCAUUGUUGAAGCGCUGAGUACGGUUAACAAUACGUACUGCACUGCUCUGGGUGGUUACGUCAACAGCGCGUAUAUUUGUGACAAAUCAGAAGGUCGUGUUAACUGCCCAGAAAGGUUAUCGGAUGGAGCGGAUACGCAGAGUAUGGUGGCUGCGUACGACUGGCAGUACUGCCCACCCAGUUACUGGUUUAUCGGCGAAAUUAUGGCUGCGUUAGCCACUGGCCUGGUGGUGCUAAUAGUCAUGAUGGUAGUCUGCCGUCGCCGUCCAUGAGUCCAUCGUCCGGGCAAAAUUUGCAACUGAUCCAGGCAGCGCAAUUGCAACUUUUCCAGCCCCUUCUGUUCAUGUACAAGUGACAGGAAGGAAGUAUCAGACUCGCUCUCGAGGAAAAACGAUCCACAUGAGGACUAGCCGGCCCUCAAAAUGGCUUGUGCUGGCUGCACCUUAUGGAUGUUUUUGUACGAGCCAUCAUUUACGAUUCAUU